AGUGAACGCUGGCGGUAGGCCUAACACAUGCAAGUCGAACGGCAGCACAGUAAGAGCUUGCUCUUACGGGUGGCGAGUGGCGGACGGGUGAGGAAUACAUCGGAAUCUACUUUUUUGUGGGGGAUAACGUAGGGAAACUUACGCUAAUACCGCAUACGACCUACGGGUGAAAGCAGGGGAUCUUCGGGCCUUGCGCGAUUGAAUGAGCCGAUGUCGGAUUAGCUAGUUGGCGGGGUAAAGGCCCACCAAGGCGACGAUCCGUAGCUGGUCUGAGAGGAUGAUCAGCCACACUGGAACUGAGACACGGUCCAGACUCCUACGGGAGGCAGCAGUGGGGAAUAUUGGACAAUGGGCGCAAGCCUGAUCCAGCCAUACCGCGUGGGUGAAGAAGGCCUUCGGGUUGUAAAGCCCUUUUGUUGGGAAAGAAAAGCAGCAGGUUAAUACCCCGCUGUUCUGACGGUACCCAAAGAAUAAGCACCGGCUAACUUCGUG
rnacentral:rRNA from 1 species